AUUGAACGCUGGCGGCAUGCUUUACACAUGCAAGUCGAACGGUAACAGGCCGCAAGGUGCUGACGAGUGGCGAACGGGUGAGUAAUGCAUCGGAACGUGCCCAGUCGUGGGGGAUAACGCAGCGAAAGCUGCGCUAAUACCGCAUACGAUCUAUGGAUGAAAGCGGGGGACCGAAAGGCCUCGCGCGAUUGGAGCGGCCGAUGUCAGAUUAGGUAGUUGGUGGGGUAAAGGCUCACCAAGCCAACGAUCUGUAGCUGGUCUGAGAGGACGACCAGCCACACUGGGACUGAGACACGGCCCAGACUCCUACGGUAGGCAGAAGUGGGGAAUUUUGGACAAUGGGCGCAAGCCUGAUCCAGCAAUGCCGCGUGCAGGAAGAAGGCCUUCGGGUUGUAAACUGCUUUUGUACGGAACGAAACGGUCUGGGUUAAUACCUCGGGCUAAUGACGGUACCGUAAGAAUAAGCACCGGCUAACUACGUGCCAGCCGCCGCCGUAACAC
rnacentral:rRNA from 1 species